CGGGCACUGUCGUUGCUGUGCAUUGCUUGCUGCUCACUUAAGACCUGUCGUGGUGCUUACCGUCAGUUCCAUUCCUAUAUUUUACGAUUUGUUGGCGUUUCUCGAAUUCUCGGACGAACACCCGGUCUGAAAUUCAACGAAGGAUGCGUGAGGUUUCAUUCGCCGUUGUCUGCAGGCUUGUCGUCAGAAGAUCUUAUGAGCGUAGCUCGCAUGUCACCCCAACUUGGCCGUGGAGACCGUGGACAACUCCAAUUUGGAGGUUUUCUUGGCCGUGGUCUGAAAGCCUGUCGUGGGAGUAUCUUAUGCCACCUCGUUGCUACGCUGCCGUCCUCUCGCCUAGUGGAUACGCUGCGUCACGAGGCCGUGUCAGAAGUUGCUCGCCGUCAAUGAUACUUAAAUCUAAUCGAGGUA